UCGUUCUAGAGAGGAAAGAGAGACUUUGGUUAGCAACAAAGCUUAAGCCACACUAUUCCACAGAUCUUUUACCCAAGAACACAAAACCUGCUCCAUAACUUUGAAAGAACUGAGCAAAAAAGGCAUUCAGUGACAUCACCCAGACCUUCCUCUUCUGUCUGCAGCGCGUGGCAGCAGCUCGGUUCCUUUCCAGAAAUUUCCGCCUCCUCUCAUCUGGGUCUUCAU